rnacentral:rRNA from 1 species
CAGUAGCCGCGGUAAUACGGAGGGGGCUAGCGUUGUUCGGAAUUACUGGGCGUAAAGCGCACGUAGGCGGCUUGGUAAGUUAGAGGUGAAAGCCUGGAGCUCAACUCCAGAAUUGCCUUUAAGACUGCCGAGCUAGCAGGUGAGAGAGGCAAGUGGAAUUCCGAGUGUAGAGGUGAAAUUCGUAGAUAUUCGGAAGAACACCAGUGGCGAAGGCGGCUUACUGGCUCAUACUGGACGCUGAGGUGCGAAAGCGUGGGGAGCAAACAGGAUUAGAUACCCCGGUAGUCCCUGUCUCUUAUAC